CCGAAUAACAGAGCACUAAAGCAAGGCGCUAAGGCAGGGAAGUGUCUCCUAAACCUUAUGACCUGAUGAAUCCCCAUGUCAUGGGGUCAUGUGGCAUCUAUGUGUAACACAUUGUUCAUAUUAUGGGGACAUCAUUGACCCAUCGGCUAAGAUCCAUGGGGCAUCCAUGAGGCAUCCAAAUGACAUUUAAUGCUGAACCAAUAGAAAACUGCCACAUGCACACUGUAUUGUGAGUGAAAUCUACCACAGUAAAACUCACCUUUUUAUGAAUUGCAUGCCAUAGUUUUCAGUGGUGCACUGCCCAAACCCAUUCUUCAAUAAACAUACAGAGAUCGAGCAAGGAGAGCUGAACCAAGUAGUCUCAUUGAACUAGACAGCAGCACGAUCAUUUAGUUAAAAUCUUGCUGGAUUCUGAGAGUGGGAGGAGCAAAAUCCGAUGCCAGCAGGACGAGGGGGCAGCCCACUACACAUGACGUCAGGCGCUUUCUACGCCACUUUCAUCUCCUCACAUAAGACCCUCAUUACCAAGCUAGG
rnacentral:lncRNA from 1 species